rnacentral:tRNA from 1 species
GGGCCCGUAGCUUAGCCUGGCUCGAGCGAUGGUCUUAUAUACCAUUGGUCAGGGGUUCAAAUCCCUUCGGGCCCA